GACGAACGCUGGCGGCGUGCUUAAUACAUGCAAGUCAACUGAACUUGAGAUAGCAAUAUUUUAAGGGAGGUGGCGCACGGGUGAGUAACACGUAGGUAAUCUGCCUUUAGGACUGACACAACCCCGAGAAAUCGGGGCUAAUAUCAGAUGAUGCAGCGGCUCGACAUCGAGACAGUUGUUAAACCUUCGGGGCCUAGAGAUGAGCCUGCGUCUGAUUAGGUAGUUGGCGGAGUAAAAGCCCACCAAGCCUGCGAUCAGUAGCUGGUCUGAGAGGAUGAUCAGCCACACUGGAACUGAGACACGGUCCAGACUCCUACGGGAGGCAGCAGUAAGGAAUAUUGCUCAAUGGCCGAAAGGCUGAAGCAGCAACGCCGCGUGGAGGACGAAAUACUUUUGUAUGUAAACUCCUGUAAGAAGGGAAAAUAUUCCGAUUUAUCGGGGAUUGAUUGUACCUUCAGAGUAAGCCCCGGCUAACUACGUGCC
rnacentral:rRNA from 1 species